GUCUUCAGAAGUUUAAGCUGAAUAUUGCAAAUACCGUAAUUACUCAGGAUAACUCGAGUCUACAAUCUAUGGGAACCGAUCAGCUUCUGGAUCUAUUCAAUUUAGAUAUGAGUGGCCCUAUUGGACCCGGUGAGGCGACCUUCGAGGGGAAUGGAAGCAAGGCCAAGCAAGGUCCUAAUACAAUGAACUCGGUCCUAGCAAACCUUGGCGAUCUGUGGGAUGAGAGCCAGUAUGAGACGGAAUACAACCUUGAAGACUUCAUGCAAAGUUUAACAUCAAGAUGAAUAGGUGGGACUAGGCUGGUGUAUUGAGGGCAAUGCAUGAAAGUAAAUGAGUGGGACUGCCUAGGUGUUUUCACUAAGUUAUUUUGAUAGGUUGUGAGAAAAAGGAAUGCAUGGUGACUGGUGCUGUUACGUGGAGCUAAGGCAGUGUAGGAAAAGUAGACUUAUUUUGAAAAGAGGAUCGAAGCAAAGUAUAUCAUCAAGAUGAAUAGGUCAGACUCGGCUGAUAUAUUGAGGACAAUGCCUGAAAGUGAAGGAAUGGGACGUCCUAGGCGUUUUCAUCAAGUUAUGUGUUUAUAUGUCCAUGGAAAAAAUUGGAAUGCAUGGUGAAGGGUACUGUGGUGUGGAAAGAUCACAUCAAUUUAUUUUGGAAAAAAAAUCUUUAAAAAGUUUAACAUUAAGAUGAGUAGGUGGGACUAUAGGCUGUUGUAUUGAGGACAAUGCAUGACUUUGAAUGAGUGGGACUCUCUAGGUCUUUUCAUCAAGUUAUGCGAACAAAUUGCGAUUAUGCAUACAGAUUAGGAUUGUGGCAUGGCGACAGUACAGUGCAGAGGAUGAUAUUUUGAAGGGAGUCUCAUUACCUUUUCAGACUUGCGUUUUUGCAAUAGAAUGAAUGCAUCAGGCAGUGGCUGAAAUCCUGCGGCAGUCGGUCGAUUUUUAAUAUGCAAUGGCAGGUAAAGAGGCUACUCCUGUGCGCAGGCCAAAAUGUGUCAUAAAACCAACACUGUAACAGAGCUGCAAAAGUAGUCCUGAUUUCAGUAAUUUGUACUGAAAAAUGAGAAGAAUACUAAUGGUUUCAUGCAAAAUACUGAUUUCUUAAGUUUCAGUUUUAUGUGUAGUCCUAUGGCAUUUCUUUGAAAAUAAUGAUUUCCUCACCAAAAUACAGAUUUUCCGCUUUUAAAAUACUGGAAUGUUGUUCAGGUUGGUAGCUCUGCUGUAAGGCUGCCUUUCGUAGGAGCUAAAACAAGAACAAAACAGGGAGGGGUUUACUGACAAUAUUGCUCUGAACCAAUCAGAUGCAAGGAUUUCAGUAGCUUGUUACAAAUAGGCCCGUAUUCUGAACUCAAGUUUAAAUUAAACCCUGGUUUAAAGUUGUGCUUAAACUAUGGAGAGCCAAUAGGGCACAAAUCCCUAACAGUACACAUCCAAUUUAUUAAAUAAAAUAAAUUGUCCAUAAUUGUCUGGGAAUGAUAACUGACUGAGAAGUAUUCUGAAGUAUUUUUCUUCAUUAUGAAAGAAACAGGAAACAAAAUAGUAAACAUCAGAGAUAUACAAUAUAAACAGAAUUUUUGAUUUUUUGGCUCCCCAUAAUUUCAGCACAGAGUUAGACCGUGGUCUAAGUUAAACCUGACUUCAGAAUACGGGCCCUUGUGUUUAUUUCAAAUGCUCCCUCAUGGUAUUGUGUGCAAAGAUUGUUUUGCGGAUACCCAGAAGAAAGUGAAACUGUAGGGCUGAGGUAGUUCCUCAUUGCUUUAUUGUGAAUUGUUUACAUCUUGAGAAGAGGCUGACAUCACGGACUGCUUACAUAAAGCUUAGCGAUUGAUCAUUGGGCUGGUGUAUACGAUUGAUUGCAUUGAUUAUUGUGUAUGAUCGAUCGUAGAAUUCAGCUCCAUGGUCAAUCGCUAAGCUUGGUGUUACGGGCCUUCUCUGUUGGGCGGUGGCCCUGAAAGAGACAGAACACAUCGUCCAUGCACUUCAAAAUCAUAUGAAAAACAUACUUGAAUCACCUGCAAAUGCACUUGUCAACUGAACCGUGGAUUAAUUGUAAAUUAGAGCACCAGGGGAGAAUGUCAUGAAAAAAAAUAGUCCAUAUUGUUCACCGACUAUUAUUAUAAGCUACUGAAAUCCUGGCAUCUGAUUGGCUGAGAGCAAAUUUUUUUUUUUUUAUGAAUAGCUACAUGUAGCACCCCUGGUUUCGUUUCAAGAUGACCAAAGUGUGCUUUGUCAUGCUGAUUGCAUUGUUUGUUAUGCUGGCAUUCAAGAGUGUGUAAAGGGUAAGGCAGGAUCAUAUAUGAUGCAAUAACUUCCUAAUAACUUGCUGUACGCUGCAAUUAUUUAUUCCAUUUGAACAGUUUGCACGUGCCAGGUCCCCUGAUUUAACCGAAUUUUUUAUGAGGUCGAUAAACUUUUGGGAGUGAUUCAUACUUUGACCUCCAAAGAAAGGCCUUGAGCACAAGAAUGGUGUGGUGGAUAUAACAAGUAAGGCAUACUUGUGAAUAAUAAAAGUAUAAAUAAUGUAUAUGAUAUGACAUCAUUCAUAGAAGUUAGCCCUGGCUUAUUAUAAACAGAGCACACACAAAAUCCUAAUAUAGUUAAAUGUAGAUGUAUGUUUUUUAUGAUAAUACUGCAUAAAGCCGUCGUUUAUUAAAGCGUGCAGUUAUUUUCACUGUUCGGAAGUGAUUUCGCGUCACAACGAAUUGAUACUUUCACUAUUUAAUUGGAAUUUGUCUUCAUACGCAACAAUGGCAAUAUAAUGAAGAGGAAAUUUAAGGGAAUUAUCAACUCCUGAAGUUUAAAGUAAAAAUGAAAAAGCACUGUAAAAUUUCAAUAAAGGAUUCCUCUUGAAUUCAUUAUGGAAUGCAUGUAGCACAAAUAUCCUGAGUGCUUUGAAUUGGAUAGAGGUCUAGUAUAUUGCCUUGAAAAUCAUCUUGAGAAAUGAAUAUAUUUGAGGCUAGGACAAUUUAGAAAAUCCAUGAAAGGGUUGAUACAAGUACUGCAUAGUAUUAUUCACCAGUUAAUCAGUCAGCACAACCUAAUUGUUGAUUCCUUAAUGAAUAGAUUUAUUCCCUUCAAAGAGCAUAAAGUGUAUUUGUAUCUCUAAGGCAUUCACUUAUUUAAGAAUUUUUCAUUGAAAGUGUCAAGGUCAGUAUUUCUGCUUAAUGUGUAAUGCCAGCAAUAUAGCAAAAAAAAGUUGACCAAUCAAAUGGCAAGAACUUCAUACAUGUAUGCAGAAUGAAAUUAAAGAAAUGAGUAUGUCAGGGUAGUUUUAAGCACAAAUGAAAUUAGAUUUUGAAGAAGAAAAACUGUUUUUCACAAGUAAAGCUAUUCUUACUGUAUGUCACUGCAAGCAUACAUAUUUAUUGAAAUAUAUUUAUUCAGGAAAACACAAGAUCAGUAUAAAACACUUUUUUACAUCAAGGUCCUGAAAAGGUUAAAAAGUUACAUCAAAAUUCAAAAAUAAAAACUGAUAUAAAAUAUCUAUUUCAAGUGUUAUUUAGUCAUUCUUUUCUCAGGUUAUGGGUGGUUGAAAAAAAAAAAGACAGAGUAUAAAUAUCUAAUAGAAUUCUUUACUGUUUUUCUGUAUCAAUGUUUUUUAUUCCUUUUCUUUUGUGAAAAUUAAAGAAAAAUGUUUAAAGUAUAAUCUUGAACACAAUGCUACCUACAGCUAAGAAGUACAUUGUAUCAGAUUUUGUUUGCACCAUGUAUUUCUUCAUUAUCAAGUAUAUUUUAUUGAGGAGAUGUUAUAUAUUUGCAAGCAGCAACAGCUUUAUUGAUGAAUAUAUUUUACAAUUUUGAUACUCAGAAGUUGAAUAUUCAGAUGUAUAUUUGCGAUACUUUGGAACAUGAAUGGGAAGUAGUCCUGACAGCUGAACUAAUACGUGGAGAUUAUUUGUUAAUCUAAUGGAUUUAUCGUGCAUUCCAUAGUAGAAAUUAAUUGUUAUCCUGUGGAGUGGAUAUGUGUGCACAUUUAAGUAAUUUUUCUUUCCUUUUUGCACGUGUUUCUUGCCAAGUUUUUGGCACCCAAUCCUUAAAUUUGAUUUAUGAAAUUUCCGGGUAAUGAGGAAGAUAUUCAGUUACUCUGUCCACUUGUUUGAUGGAGACUUGACAUUUCAAUACAGAUGAAAUUGAUAAAAAGUUACUUUUGUGGGUAUUUUAUUGAUUUAUAAAUCCAACUGAAAUCUCAAUUUGAAUUGGAAUGAAUGCUGUCAUUUUGCAGGAGCUAAUAGUUUUUCACUACAUUGAAAACAAUUCAAAGCUGUUUAUAUUUAUUUGCAAUUGGCGUAGAAACUCCAGAAUGAAAUUCCCAAUCUUCCUUGAUAUGAGAUCCCCCUCCUUAACCCUUGUCCCAUCUGCUACAUUAAUUAAACCCUGUUCAAAAUCAUUCAACCAUGUGUAGCUGUAUAGAAAUCUCUUAUGUAUUUAUUUGUGUAUUGAGCUACGCCUUAAAUAUUUGUGCCAAAUGAAAAAACAUGUGUAACCAAAAGACAUUUUACAGAAAGAAGAAUACGUAUCGUCGAAAUACAUUUUGCAGAUAGAGAGUAUGAUUGCUGCUGGGUAUUAGAAUUUAAAACCUUCACAGCUGAAAAAAAAGAAGUAUUUUAGAAAUAUGGCAAUGGCAACCACAAACCGUCUGAAAACAGUUCCUAAUUUCUGUAGAGAAUUCUUUCUAGGCAAAAGAAAAAGAAGGUCAGAAGUCAUUUAGAAUUAUGACAUUUAUAACUCUCAGAUCAAACUUGGAAGAUUGGGUUUAUUUUUUAAGCUGUCCAUUUUUUUUUUUUUUUUUUGAGCUAGGAGGCGACAUUCAUAACUCGAAAAUCAAUUUUUUUUUUUCAGCUGUUCUCCAAUUUUUUUUCUUCAGUUUUGAGGUUUUAACUCCCUAGUGAAUGUAUAUGAUUUUUGUUUAGUCAUAGAAUACAAUACGUUACAUAAUCCUCCAAUUCAUAACAAUCUGAAAGUGGUUGAUCAACUGUUUAAUUAUUAAUCAUGAUCAGUAUUAGAUGGUAUUGCACUAACAGGCAAUGUCAUGGUCUAGUGGUUCUGAUGCUCGCCUUUCAAACAGAGGGUCGUGGGUUCGAAUCCUAGCCAUGACCUGUUUUUUCCUUCAGCAAGAAAUUUAUCCACACUGCUGCACUCGACCCAGGUGAGGUGAAUGGGUACCCGGCAGGAUUAAUUCCUUGCAUGCACUGAGCGCCGAUGAUGGUAGCUCGAGCUGAAGCCGGGGUAAUAAUAGCAAGGGCUUUGUAUCCUCAGGCAAAAAAGCACUAUAUAAAUUUCUCAUUGCUAUGAAUACUUGCAAUGCACAUGGACAAUGAUUGUGAUAUACAGAAACAAAUUCUCAGGAAUAUCUUGUCUACAUUACAAUUUUGAAGAAAAGAGUGUUUGAAUUUUACACUUUUUUAAUAUGAAUGACACUGUUCUUUUUGUUAUUGUGGUUCUGUACUUGUUAUACUAUGUAGCAUUUGUAUGGAAAAUUUGUUCGCUUUUUUUUUGUUCUUUAUGAUAUCGAAAUUGUUCUUCCUUUGUUUUUCUUUUCCAGUAUCUUUUUUUUUCUUCCUUCCAUGCCGGAAACUCAUUAUUUUGGUAUACUAUAGUGAAAAAUCUGCAUAUUUUAUACUAAAAAUUGUUUUUCAUACAGUGUUGUGUAUUGCAAGGUUGCAUAUUGUGAAUUUGGUAUACAUAAUUCACAGGUGAAUUUUUAUUUGAAUUCAGCAAGAUUUGACUAAAAAGAAACAAAUAUCACAUGCUUUGCACAAUUUAAUCUUCAAAAACUGAUACCACUUGGAUGAUUAUUUACUAUUUAUUUUAAAUCUCAGAUUGAAAACGUAUGUACCUGUAAAAUGUCUAUGAAUGCUAGUAUUACACAUUGCUUUAAUAAAGCAAAGCCCAUGGCAAGUCGUCAAGAGUCAUUA